rnacentral:rRNA from 1 species
GACGAACGCUGGCGGCGUGCUUAACACAUGCAAGUCGAGCGGUAAGGCCCUUUCGGGGUACACGAGCGGCGAACGGGUGAGUAACACGUGGGUGACCUGCCCUCCAGCUCUGGGAUAAGCCUGGGAAACCGGGUCUAAUACUGGAUAUGACUCCAUGACGCAUGUUGUGGGGUGGAAAGCCUUGUGCGGCUGAGGAUGGGCCCGCGGCCUAUCAGCUUGUUGGUGGGGUGAGGCCUACCAAGGCGACGACGGGUAGCCGGCCUGAGAGGGCGACCGGCCACACUGGGACUGAGACACGGCCCAGACUCCUACGGGAGGGCAGCAGUGGGGAAUCUUGCGCAAUGGGCGAAAGCCUGACGCAGCGACGCCGCGUGAGGGAU